rnacentral:rRNA from 1 species
CCUACGGGAGGCAGCAGUGGGGGAUAUUGCACAAUGGGGGAAACCCUGAUGCAGCGACGCCGCGUGAGUGAAGAAGUAUCUCGGUAUGUAAAGCUCUAUCUGUAGGGAAGAAAAUGACAGUACCUGACGAAGAAGCUCCGGCUAACUACGUGCCAGCAGCCGCGGUACUACGUAGGGGGCAGGCGUUAUCCGGAUUUACUGGGUGUUAAGGGAGCGUAGACGGUUAUGUAAGUCUGGAGUGAAAGCCCGGGGCCCAACCCCGGGACUGCUUUGGAAACUGUGUAACUGGAGUACAGGAGGGGCAGGCGGAAUUCCUGGUGUAGCGGUGAAAUGCUUAGAUAUCAGGAGGAACACCGGCGGCGAAGGCAGCCUGCUGGACUGAAACUGACGUUGAGGCUCGAAAGCGUGGGGAGCAAACAGGAUUAGAUACCCUUGUAGUC